rnacentral:misc_RNA from 1 species
GAUGAAGAACGUAGCGAAAUGCGAUAAGUAAUGUGAAUUGCAGAAUUCAGUGAAUCAUCGAAUCUUUGAACGCACAUUGCGCCCGCUAGUAUUCUGGCGGGCAUGCCUGUCCGAGCGUCAUUUCAACCCUCAAGCCCCCGGGCUUGGUGUUGGGGAUCGGCGAGCCUCCGCGCCCGCCGUCCCCUAAAUCUAAUGGCGGUCUCGCUGUAGCUUCCUCUGCGUAGUAGCACACCUCGCACUGGGAAACAGCGCGGCCACGCCGUUAAACCCCCAACUUCUGAACGUUUGACCUCGGAUCAGGUAGGAAUACCCGCUGAACUUAAGCAUAUCAAUAAGCGGAGGA